UUCCUGGUAGCUUAACUGGUAAAGAAUCUGUCUGCAAUGCAGGAGACCCCGGUUCGAUUCCUGGGUCAGAAA
rnacentral:tRNA from 1 species